CAGUACCCAGCCAGGCAACAGCUACUUAUUGGCGCCUACAACGUGCCAGUCUCGGUGGGGAAGCCCGUGUCAGCCGAACAAGACCUGCGUGGCUCCCACCCCAGGGCGGAAGGGAGAUUCCUGUAAAUUACAAUAUGCUGAGUCUUACGACGGAGGAAUUCAGGAUGCUGUGGGAAGACUUCCAAGUCUCACCUGAGAAAGACGCCUGCAGCCACUCUGACUCACUUCCAGAGUCCUCUGUCGCCGUCAUCCAGUGGCCAGAGGGCGUGCCCGGGGACCGGAGUCCUGUGCUGCGCCCUCCGUGGCUGCGAAAGGUCAGGCGCCCUGGACCGCGGGGGAGCGCGCGACCCGCCUGGGCCGCCCACAUCUCUCACUUCCAGAUGAGAAGUCCCCGGUCCCACUACUCUCGCGUCUGACUCGUUGUGCAGUCACUUCUUGGCUGCUUGAAGCGAGAGCCCAACCGAGAGGAGAAGAGAACUGGGCACAGUCAUGAGUCGGUUUCGUACUGCUCGCUGGGCUGGGGUUUCAGCCCCUGCCCGCGCCCAGAGCUUUAUUAACAUGAAAGUAUGACAUGAUGAAAAUAGAAUGUAAGAAAUACACCCAUCACCUGUGAAGCACCAACUGCAUGAAGACCGUGUGCCAGGGGACACCAAGGCACCUUCCUGAGAAUUCUGACCUGGUUUGGCAGUGGGGAGGAUUGGAGAUGGAGAGGGACCCAGUGGUUUUCCAAGUUUUCUUUGAGUGAGCCACCUUCCCAGGGUGCAGCCAACCAGAAGAGUGACAAAUGACAGGUGGUUUUAGAAUUGAUGCAGCCUAUCUUCAUGGUUUUGAGAGGAGAAGAUUCAGGAACUGUGCACUUCUUUAAGAACUGGCUAUAUCUCUCAUGUACUGAUGAGCGUUGUGUCCCACUUUCAUGUAUAUAAUCUGUUUUUUUCCAUGUAUAGAAUCCUAAAUUUUCAAAACAGGUUAACGUAAAAAUAUACCAGUUUGCCCUCACACAUGUUCAAUUCUGUGAGUUUUAUUAGGUAACCAUUAUAUCCUUUCACAGAUACAGAAACCAAGGCCCAGAGAAUUGAAUAAGGUUUCAUAAUUAGUGAUCAAACUAAGCACAAAAUUAUUGGGGCCUUUAUUUUUUCUGUAGGAGCCCAUCUCCAUUCUCUGGCCUCUUGGUUCAAUGGUAUACAGUAUAAUGAUUCUGAGAUUUUAGUCUUUAAAAACAUCCAUAUUGUAAACAUGUCUCAAAAUUCCACCAAAUGAACACAACCUGUAUUAUCAGGACAAGCUGUAUUUUCGGUGUAAAAUAUAGUGGCUUAUAUGUUGAUUUUUACUACAAGUUUAAGUUUUUGCACAAGUUGUUUUCCCAGCCUUCCAGAGAUUUUCUAAGUGGUGAAAUUUAAAAGUGCUUAAAGGUAGUAAAAAUUUCCCAUUAAAGUUUGUUCAGAAAACA